rnacentral:rRNA from 1 species
GACGAACGCUGGCGGCGUGCUUAACACAUGCAAGUCGAACGGAAAGGCCCUGCUUUUGUGGGGUGCUCGAGUGGCGAACGGGUGAGUAACACGUGAGUAACCUGCCCUUGACUUUGGGAUAACUUCAGGAAACUGGGGCUAAUACCGGAUAGGAGCUCCUGCUGCAUGGUGGGGGUUGGAAAGUUUCGGCGGUUGGGGAUGGACUCGCGGCUUAUCAGCUUGGUGGUGGGGUAGUGGCUUACCAAGGCUUUGACGGGUAGCCGGCCUGAGAGGGUGACCGGCCACAUUGGGACUGAGAUACGGCCCAGACUCCUACGGGAGGCAGCAGUGGGGAAUAUUGCACAAUGGGCGGAAGCCUGAUGCAGCAACGCCGCGUGCGGGAUGACGGCCUUCGGGCUGUAAACCGCUUUCGCCUGUGACGAAGCGUGAGUGACGGUAAUGGGUAAAGAAGCACCGGCUAACUACGUG